AGAAUGUCUGAUCAGAUAUUCUAGGAAGGCUUCAAGAAAGAGGUGGCAUUUCAGCAAGGUGGGAACGUUUCAAAGGAAGAGAUGGAGGAGGAAGGACAUGAGGAUGAAGCAGUAGGUGGAAUAACUGGACCCGGUCAGCCUGGUCUCCUGGAGCCUGGCAUGCUCUGGGCAUUCAUUACAGUUGACUGAUUGAUAGGGAGGCAGGGAGCGGUUUAGUUUGGCAAGCCCCUGGGGAGGCCCCGGCUCUAUGGGAGUGGUUGUUAGAGGCUGCUGCGAGGUAGGUGUCAGUUUCGUGGUCCAUUUUUAACAUCUUAAAGACCAGAUCAGUCCCCUGAAAAUCACGUGCCCGCUGUCUUGCCUUGAGUCAUCAAACCACAUGGAGAACUUAAAUGUGCCGGGUGAGCGUAAGGCUAACAUGGACAUGGUGGACAUGUCCUCAGGGAGCACACAGCCUUCCAGGGGACACAGACCACUCAAAUCAUCACACCUGCACAAGUAGGGAGCCGUGAGAGCAGCCCGAAACCCAGGGGGACUCAUGGGGGGCCCCUGAGGAAGCGACAGCUGAGCUGAAGAUGAGUGGGAGCGAAGAGAGGCACGAGGGCGGGCAGAGCAUUCAGUUCCUUAGGUGGCGGGAAAGAGCCUAGGGUGUUUGGGGAAUUGAAAGGCGGCCCGUGAGCCUCGGGCGGGCGUGGAGCUUCUUAGCCGCGGGAAGGGUUUCUGGUCUUCAUCAUAAGCGCACUGGAAACCACCGAAGGGCUAGCAUCUGAGCUGACAUGAUCAGAUUUACACUUUUAAAAGGUCACUUUUGUGGCAAUUCAUGGAGAACAGCUUGAGGCCUCGAGAGAAUGGACGUGCUCGGGAGCUCUGAGUGCCUGUGCUGGGUGUGGGCUCCUUCCUGGUGUCCUCUCUGCUCUGAUCUGCUCCCUGUGGAGUGAGGAUGGCAUGGGAUGGGGAUGGGUAGUCAGACAGCCCUCACUCCGCACGUGCCACCAGAGCUGCCUUUUUAUCCUUCCAGCCUUAGACCUGGGGACCUGUGAGCCCUGCCUCCAGUUACUAAUCAUGGAGAGGGUCGACUCGAGCCACCAGCCCCUUAGGUGAGGACUCCGCCUGGAGCUCUGUUGACCAUUCCGAAUCAUGGAGAAGAAGAGAACUGCUCUAGCCAGCAGGAGACGUUCUUGUUGAAAGGCCUGAGCCAGCUCAACCGGCUCUUCCUGCGGGCUGUCUUCGGGAGAGCGGCCUGCCCCCACUGACCCGGAGCUAGAAGUUGCAGCUUCCACUGAUGGGGAGGUGGGCCCUCGAAGUGGCCUUUGUGUGGAAGGCAAUGUUGACGCUGGGGCUGGUCCUCCUCUACUACUGCUUCUCCAUCGGCAUCACCUUCUACAACAAAUGGCUGACGAAGAGCUUCCACUUCCCCCUCUUCAUGACCAUGCUGCACCUGGCCGUGAUCUUCCUGUUCUCUGCCCUGUCCAGGGCCCUGGUGCAGUGCUCCAGCCACAGGGCCCGUGUGGUGCUGAGCUGGACUGACUACCUCAGAAGAGUGGCUCCGACAGCAUUGGCGACGGCGCUUGACGUGGGCUUGUCCAACUGGAGCUUCCUCUACAUCACCGUCUCACUGUACACAAUGACCAAAUCCUCAGCCGUCCUCUUCAUCUUGAUCUUCUCUCUGAUCUUCAAGCUGGAGGAGCUGCGAGCGGCGCUGGUCCUGGUGGUCCUUCUCAUCGCUGGGGGCCUCUUCAUGUUCACCUACAAGUCCACGCAGUUCAACGUGGAGGGCUUUGCCUUGGUGCUGGGGGCCUCGUUCAUCGGUGGCAUUCGCUGGACCCUCACCCAGAUGCUCCUGCAGAAAGCAGAACUUGGGCUCCAGAACCCCAUUGACACCAUGUUCCACCUGCAGCCACUCAUGUUUCUGGGGCUUUUCCCUCUCUUUGCCAUAUUUGAAGGUCUCCAUUUGUCCACAUCUGAGAAAAUCUUCCGUUUCCAGGACACAGGGCUGCUCCUGCGGGUACUUGGGAGCCUCUUCCUUGGCGGGAUUCUCGCCUUUGGUCUGGGCUUCUCUGAGUUCCUCCUGGUCUCCAGAACUUCCAGCCUCACUCUCUCCAUUGCUGGCAUUUUUAAGGAAGUCUGCACUUUGCUGUUGGCGGCGCAUCUGCUGGGCGAUCAGAUCAGCCUCCUGAACUGGCUGGGCUUCGCCCUCUGCCUUUCGGGAAUAUCCCUGCACGUCGCCCUCAAAGCUCUGCACUCCCGAGGUGAUGGCAGCCCUAAACCUUUGAAGGGGCUGGGCUCCAACCCUGACCUGGAGCUACUGCUCCGGAGCAGCCAGCCAGGGGAGGAUGAAUAUGAGGAGGAGGAAGAGUACUUUGUGGCCCAGAGGCAGCAGUGACCAGCCAGGGGACCAGCGUGGAAGCAGGCCACUCCGGGGUGCUCACACCCAACGGCAGCUUGGGGCCCCAGGUGGCUCCUCAUAGCAGCCGGAGAAGCGGUGGACUGGAGACUCGCAGGCUGGGCCUCAGAUGGCACCUGACCACGUGCUGGGGCUGGGUCAGGGAGUUGGUGAGGCAGAGAGGCAAACAGGUUUCUAAGGGGACUGCCUUUGGACUGCAGAGCGGUUCGGAAGGGGAGCUGGAGAGACUGGGGCCUCAUCACCUGGAGAGCAGCUUUUCUCAGCAGAUCUAUUUAUAGUUUGGAAAUAAAGGGUUUACGGUC